CCUACGGGAGGCUGCAGUGGGGAAUUUUGCGCAAUGGGCGAAAGCCUGACGCAGCAACGCCGCGUGCGGGAUGAAGGCCCUCGGGUCGUAAACCGCUUUCAGCAGGGACGAAAAUGACUGUACCUGCAGAAGAAGCCCCGGCUAAAUACGUGCCAGCAGCCGCGGUAAUACGUAUGGGGCAAGCGUUAUCCGGAUUUAUUGGGCGUAAAGCGCGCGUAGGCGGAUCGUUAAGUCAGAUGUGAAAUCCGGGGGCUCAACCCGCGGCCUGCAUCUGAAACUGGCGGUCUUGAGUCUGGUAGAGGAAAGUGGAAUUCCUAGUGUAGCGGUGAAAUGCGCAGAUAUUAGGAGGAACACCAGUGGCGAAGGCGGCUUUCUGGGCCACGACUGACGCUGAGGCGCGAAAGCUAGGGGAGCAAACAGGAUUAGAUACCCCGGUAGUCU
rnacentral:rRNA from 1 species